AUUGAACGCUGGCGGCAGGCCUAACACAUGCAAGUCGAGCGGAUGACGGGAGCUUGCUCCUUGAUUCAGCGGCGGACGGGUGAGUAAUGCCUAGGAAUCUGCCUGGUAGUGGGGGACAACGUUUAGAAAGUAACGCUAAUACCGCAUACGUCCUACGGGAGAAAGCAGGGGACCUUGGGGCCUUGCGCUGUCAGUUGAGCAUAGGACGGAUUAGCUAGUUGGUGGGGUAAUGGCUCACCAAGGCGACGAUCCGUAACUGGUCUGGAGAGGAUGAUCAGUCAGCCUGGAACUGAGACACGGUCCAGACUCCUACGGGAGGCAGCAGUGGGGAAUAUUGGACAAUGGGCGAAAGCCUGAUCCAGCCAUGCCGCGUGUGUGAAGAAGGUCUUCGGAUUGUAAAGCACUUUAAGUUGGGAGGAAGGGCAGUAAGCUAAUACCUUGCUGUUUUGACGUUACCGACAGAAUAAGCACCGGCUAACUCUGUGCCAGCCGCCGCCGUAAUAC
rnacentral:rRNA from 1 species